CCCCUUUACUAAAUCUCCAUUAGUUUACUCUCUAGUCUUGGGAAAGAGGUUGCUCCUGUUGCAGUUUAUGCACCGAUAGACCAAGGCGUUGGGGCGUCCAUUUGUGAGCCUCCAGUUGAAAUGACUUUUAAGCAGCUUCUUGCUCUUGAUCCAUUAGAUAAUUUGUUUCAUUUCUGUAGGGCAAGCCUUUCAUUUGUAAGGUCACCAUCACGCGUCUGGGCUCUGAUCAGCGUUGGUGGUUCCUCUCGUGCGUUGCCUGCCAUAAGACUGCGUAUGUUAAUGGGCCUAGGUUCCGUUGCUCAGACCAAGGUUGCUCUUCCGUUGGGGGAGAGCCGGCAUAUUCUAUCUGCACAUUUGCAACUGAUGGAUCAGCUGAGGCUGAAUUCAAUGUUCUUCGAGAGAGCUGGCAGAACAGCAAUAGGCAAACCACUUCUAACCUUGCUGCGGCAAAAGUAUCCAGGGUAUUCACUAUUCAGAGGUUCGCGACCUUGCGCAGAUAGGAGGAGCUGAUGUAACCCUCCCAGUGGAAGUUACCAGAAUGGUCACAAAGACGUAGCGCCUGGUGGUGGCCAUUUCCAACAAAAUUUUCAAGCCUACAAGCAACUAGCUAUCUUCCAAGUUAAUAGGAUUGACCAGACCUUUCAGCCUGAGCUUGGGCCGUUAGAAUUUGGUCCUGCUUCCCCAGCUUCUCGCCCUUCUUCUUCUGGUACAGGCUCAGUUGGUGUACUCUCUGGUUUCUCACUGAUGUCGCCAGUUGGACCAUUCACACCUUCAUCAAAGGAUGCACACGGCCCAGGAAGCUCUAGCCUUGUUUCUCAGUCGCCUCUUGAUGAGAUGAACAACCCCAUAUCAAUGAUGAAAGGGAAGGGCCAGUCCUUCAUACCUCUAUCACUGGCAAGUCAGCCUGUCGUAAGAAUGCACGUCAUAAGCUGAUACUCACACCCGCUAAAAGCACAUAGGUUGAUACACCGGCUGAAGGUGUGCCAAAGCUUUCUGUUGAGGCUGGAGAAAAUGCCUCAACUGGAGAUUCAGCUGGCUCUGCAUCCAUAGCAACGGUCGAUGAGCCUACACUGGGCACUGCAGAGGCUGAUGUUUCGACUUCUGGGAAUGGCAAGGCUGUGCAAUCUGACCAGGCAAAGACCAAGAGGAGCAAUGCUGGUGUCAAGAACGCUGACAAUGCAAAGAAGACAAAGCAAUAACUAAUCUAUGGUCUUGGGUGAUCAUGGACGUACGGUUGUUCUGUAUAUAGACGGUCGCUACUUUGGCGCAGGCCCCUAAAGUCUACGCCAGCAAGGACAAGCCAUGACUAAUUCAUCGCAGUUGUCUUCAUGUACCUGUCUUUGCACCCUUUUGGACACGUUCCUACUAUGUUUGUUGUGUGUUUGCAAACCCAGACUUUGGCGCUCAAAGAGCCAUGUCAAAGCUCUGUUGAUAUUCCCUAUUUAAGAUCUGAACCAGGCCACUUUCAAGCCUUGUAAAUAUCGCUGUUCGAACUCUCUGCUCUCCCCUGCCUCUCCUCAUGAUAUUUCUGUACUCGUUGGGCUGCGCUACCGAAUCUAUCUAUAAUUAUCAGUGCAAUGCUAUGCCUGUA